GGUGGCUCAGUGGUAGAGCACUUGCCUUGCAUGCAUGAGGCCUGGGUUCAAUUCCUCAGCACCA
rfam:Dipodomys ordii contig_37298, whole genome shotgun sequence.